UUUUUCACAUUUUGUUUUAAAAGUAGCUCUGUUUAUUAAAAUUUGAAUGUCCCGUUUGGUUGUAAUAUGAUAUAUUGUAGAUAUAAAUAAUAUAAAAUGGUUACAGUAAGCAUACAGUAUUGUAGGUUAAUUCGUGAUUCCUUCUGCGCAGCUGCAUUGCGUGCAGUCUUAAAAAAAUUUGGCGGUUUGUCAUCAUCAUCUCAUACAGCUCGCGUUUGAGAAUCUUAUGUUUACAUGAUUGAAGAGAUUAAACUUUUAGGAGAUUUCACUCGGAGACCCAUCGCCUUUGACAUUAUAUUAGAAUGCGUGACGUCACAGAGAACUCUGCUCAGGCUUUAUGGAACGCAGUUUGCAGUGUGUGUGGUCAUUCUACGGUGAGGCUCAGAACAGUAAGGUUGACAACACUCAAGGAGACACUGCAAGGGAGGGAGCCGGCUUACGCGGCUGAGACGCUGCGCGGCGGAGGACCCGACAAGCGGCGACUCCCGCCUGCGGACCCCUCGCCUGCCAGGACCCAGUGAUGACGCCGAAGACGCCACCGCACGCCG